rnacentral:misc_RNA from 1 species
AGGCUCGUAGUGUACCAGGCG